GACGAACGCUGGCGGCGUGCUUAACACAUGCAAGUCGAACGGAAAGGCCUGCUUUCCCUUGUGGAUUGCGGGUACUCGAGUGGCGAACGGGUGAGUAACACGUGAGUGAUCUGCCCCCAACUUGGGUAUAAGCCUGGGAAACUGGGUCUAAUUCCCGAUAGGACUGCAGGGUGGUGCCUGUGGUGGAAAACGAUUUUCUAGUGGUUGGGGGUGAGCUCGCGGCCUAUCAGCUUGUUGGCGGGGUAAUGGCCUACCAAGGCGGCGACGGGUAGCCGGCCUGAGAGGGUGGACGGCCACAUUGGGACUGAGAUACGGCCCAGACUCCUACGGGAGGCAGCAGUGGGGAAGAUUGCACGAUGGGCGGAAGCCUGAUGCAGCGACGCCGCGUGGGGGAUGACGGCCUUCGGGUUGUAAACUCCUUUCGACCGCGAGGAAGCCACCUGGUUGGAAGGGUGGUGACGGUAGUGGUAGAAGAAGCACCGGCUAACUACGUG
rnacentral:rRNA from 1 species